GCGCUUAAAGGCGUAUGGUGGAUGCCUUGGCAGAAGAUGCCGAAGAAGGACGUAGUAGGCUGCGAUAAGCCUCGGGGAGCUGUCAAACAAGCUUUGAUCCGGGGAUGUCCGAAUGGGGAAACCCCUUAGAACCUGUGCGUUGCACAGGAAUUUCUAAUUUCUAAUUUCUAAUUUCUAAACAAAUCCCAAUGACUAAAUUUCAAAAUCCCAAAAAUUUUGAACAUUGAAACAUUUGAAUUUAUGAUUUGUUUCAGAUUUCAGAUUUCAGAUUUAGAGUUUCUUGUGCUACGCACAGGUAGGCAAGCCGGUGAACUGAAACAUCUUAGUAACCGGAGGAAAAGAAAUCGAAUGAGAUUCCCUUAGUAGUGGCGAGCGAACAGGGACAAGUCUAAACCGUGCGGAGCACAUAAUUUUUAAUUUAAAAUUUCUAAUCAAUUUUAAAUUCUUAAUGCUUAAAAAUUAAAACAUUAGAAAUUCAAUAAAAAUUAGAAAUUAAUAAUUAAGAAUUGCGUGCUCUGCGCGGGGUUGCGGGACUCACAUAAUCAAAACGAAUAGAUAGGAGAACGAGCCUGGAAAGGACGACCAUAGAGCGUGAUAGUCGCUUAUCUUAAAUCUUGAGUAGUUGCGAGGUGAUGUUCCCAAGUAGCACCAGACACGUGAAACCUGGUGUGAAUCUGGGCCGUUCACGGUCCAAGACUAAAUACAUCUUCUGACCGAUAGUGAACAAGUACUGUGAAGGAAAGGUUAAAAGAACCCUAACAAAGGGAGUGAAAUAGAUCCUGAAACCAUACGCUUACAAUGAGUCAGAGCCGUGCAUGGCACAGAAUUUUUAAUUUAAAAUUUAGAAUAUUUAAUCAAUUCUUAAUUUUUAAUGUUUAAACAUUUAGACAUUAGAAAUUCAUAGAAAUUAGAAAUUAAUAAUUAAAAAUUGUGUGCUGUGCAUCGGUGAUGGCGUGCCUUUUGUAGAAUGACCCAACGAGUUAGCUAUGUGUAGCAAGCUUAAGCGAUAGAUCGCGGAGGCGUAGUGAAAGCGAGGGCUAAAUGCCCGAUUAGUUGCACAUACUAGACCCGAAACCGGGUGAUCUACCCAUGGACAGGGUGAGAGCAGGGUAAAACCUGCUGGAGGCCCGAACCACUCUAGGUGUCAAACUGGAUGGAUGAGCUGUGGGUAGCGGAGAAAUUCCAAUCGAACCCGGAAAUAGCUGGUUCUCCUCGAAAUAUAUAUAGGUAUAGCCUGGCAUAGUUCGCUUUUGGCGAACAGAGUUGCAGAAAGAGGUAGAGCACUGACUGAUCUACGGGGGCUUCGGCUCUCGUAUUCAAACAAACUCCGAAUUCUUUCUGAUUCAUGCCAGAGUCAGACUGUGGGGGCUAAGCUCCAUGGUCGAAAGGGAAACAGCCCAGACCGUAGUCUAAGGUCCCUAACUACAAUCUAAGUGGAAAAAGCAGUGAAAUCUCCAAAACAACCAGGAUGUUGGCUUAGAAGCAGCCAUGCAUUUAAAGAGUGCGUAAUAGCUCACUGGUCUAGUUAAGAGGUUUUGCGCUGAAAAUUCAACGGGGCUCAAGAUUGUGACCGAAGACACGGGCCGUGUCUCACUUUUGUUCGACACUCCAGAAAUGGAUGACGAAUUGACCAAAUAACCAAUGGCGAAUAAACAAAUAUUCGUAAAUUAGUUAUUAGUCAUUUAGACAAAUUCGUUAUCCUUAUGUGGACGUGGCGAGCGGUAGCGAGACACGGCGGUAGAGGAGCGUUCUUGGUGCAGUGAAGGUCGACCUGUGAGGGUGGCUGGAGCGCCAAGAAGUGAGAAUGUUGGGAUGAGUAACGAAUUAGCCAUGCGAGAAACAUGGCCACCAAAUACCCGAGGUUUCCUGGGCAACGGUAAUCGUCCCAGGGUUAGCCGGGCCUAAGUCGAGGCCGUUGUAAUGGCGGCGUAGACGAUGGACAGAAUGUUAAUAUUCAUUCGCUUUUGUAUAUAUAACCGAUGACGCCGAGGCGUAGUCGCAGAUAAACUAUGGUUUAUUGUCUGUGGUGUAGCCUUGGACAGGAAAAGUUCGGCUUAAAAGUAUACAAGAUCCGUACCGCAAACCGACUCAGGUGGGUGAGGCGAGAAGCCUCAGGUGAUCGGAAGAACUCUCGUUAAGGAACUCUGCAAAAAAGCGUCCGUAACUUAGGGAUAAGGACUGACUGUGCGGAGCACAGAAUUUUUAAUUUAAAAUUUGAAAUUUCUAAUCAAUUCUUAAUUCUUAAUGUUUAAAAAUUAAAACAUUAGAAAUUCAAUAAAAAUUAGAAAUUAAUAAUUAAAAAUUGUGAUGCUCUGCGCAGCCUGCAACUAAUGAGUCCAGGCGACUGUUUAUCAAAAACACAGGUCUCUGCUAAACCGUAAGGUGAUGUAUAGAGGCUGAUGCCUGCCCAAUGCUCGAAGGUCAAACCGGCCCUUGAUCGCACUUGUUGCGCUAGGGGGACGACUAAGCCCGAGUGAAUGGCGGCCGUAACUAUAAACCAGACCGAUUGUAGUUACGUUAAAAAAUUUAGCUAUAUGCUGGAAUAACCCGUGUAUCCGAUAAUACUCGACCGCAAGGUCAGUGAAAAUUUAUUCGGUGGGGUCAAUCAGCAGGAAAGACUUGGAAUUUAUUCCAAGAAUCCUCAGAGACUACACGCUAAACCAACCCAAAGAAAUAGAAACUUUGGAAUUUGGAUGAUAUAGUCCGAUCUGCAUGGCGACAUGCAGGCCCAGAUGGGCACCAUUAAUUUGGAAACAUCAAUGAACGGUCCUAUGGUAGCGAAAUUCCUUGUCGGGUAAGAAAUUUGCCCUUGAUAGCUAUAUCGGUGAAACCUUCAUCGCACGCGGGUGCGAUAUGGCAAUACCGAGGGAAGUCUAGUACAAAUCAGUUAUUGAAAAUGACCCCGUAGAGACUACACGCUGUCCUCCAAUGAAAAUUGGGGAAGAUAUAGUCCAUGCCUUGACGAAAGUCAGGGAGUAGUCGAUUAAUUUAUUAAAUUAAUUAUCGAUCAUGAAGUUCCGACCCGCACGAAUGGCAUAACGAUCUGGACACUGUCUCAACGAGAGGUCCGGUGAAAUUACACAGCCGGUAAAGAUGCCGGUUACUCGCAGCAAGACGGAAAGACCCCGUGGAGCUUUACUAUAGUUUGGUAUUGAAUCGGAAAACUUGAUAUGUAGGCUAGGUGGGAGACUUUGAAACCAUGGCGCUAGUUGUGGUGGAGUCGCAAUGUGAAAUACCACUUUUUAAUUUUUUUGAUUCUAACCUGGAUCUGUGAUACGGUCCGGGAACAGUGCUAGAUGGGUAGUUUAACUGGGGCGGUUGCCUCCUAAAUUGUAACGGAGGCGUUCAAAGGUGUGCUUAGCCCGGAUGGAAAUCGGGCCUCGACGUAUAAAAGCAUAAGCAUGCUUAACUGUGAGACCUACAAGUCGAACAGACGCGAAAGCGGGAUUUAAUGAUCCGAUAUUAUCUCGUGAUAGAUAUAUCGCUCAACGGAUAAAAGUUACCCCGGGGAUAACAGGCUGAUCGCAUCCAAUAGUCCACAUAGACGAUGCGGUUUGGCACCUUAACACAUUGGGGUGCUAGAGGAGUAAUCCUCUACCAAAAAUCUUCAAUAUUCAAUAUUGGAGAGCAAAAAUUCGGCUUAUAACGGUGAACCCCUAUUGUUUGUUCGUUUUAUGUUCGAUAGAAUAUAAGAAUAAACAAGGGCGAUACCGUGGGAAGUCUAACGUCAAUUCAGAAAGAGAUUUUAGUUGGGAGUUUGCUUGGUGACGGCGCAUUGCGAAGGCAAGGUACCAGAACCAAUGCUCUUCUUGAAAUCAACCACUCGUUUCAAUAUAGAAAAUAUGUUGAUUGGAAAUGGUCGCAUUUUAAAGAGUUCGUCAAAACUCCACCAAAAUCUCGCCAUGGCAAUGGCAAUCGUAUUGCUUAUCGCUUUACGACUCAAAGCCUUCCGCUUUUUACAGAAUAUUAUUUGAAAUAUUAUUCGAGCGGCAAAAAGGCAAUUUCAGCCGAUCUUAUCCUAACCAAUUUAGUGCUUUCUGUUUGGUUUAUGGAUGACGGUUCGAAGAGUCGGAAUACUUAUUAUCUAAAUACUCAGCAGUUUGAUCUGGCAAGCCAGAAAACAUUGAUGAAUAUUUUAGAUCGGGAUCUGGGAAUUAAAUCCAGUCUCAAUCGCGAUAAACAAUACUUUAGAAUUCGGAUAAGAACGGAAAGCGCGAAGCUAUUUCGAAAUAUUGUCGCGUCUCAUCUAUUGCUAUGUUUUCGUUAUAAAAUUGACUAUGACCCCGUAACGACUGACUCGAAAGAGGAGAUUUAGCUUUUGUAAAAGAAGCUAGAUAACACGCCGAACCCUACAUAAAAAAGUAAAGGAUAUGGCUUAAAAACCUAAAGUCCAACAGUAGGGAAAAGAUAUAGUCUACACCAUACGUAAUUAUGGAUAAAGGUACGAUGUCGGCUCAUCCUAUCCUGGAGGUGAAGCAGCUUCCAAGGGUCUGGCUGUUCGCCAGUUAAAAGGGUACGCGAGCUGGGUUCAGAACGUCGUGAGACAGUUCGGUCCUAAUCUGCUGUGAGCGUUGAAACUUGAGUGGGUAUUCCCCUAGUACGAGAGGACCGGGGAGUGUGGACCACUGGUGUAUCUGUUGCACGAACCUCGUGCAUUGCAGAGUAGCUAAGUCCUACUGGAUAAGUGCUGAAAGCAUAUAAGCGCGAAGCCAGCCACAAGAUUAGGUUUCUUAGACUCCUUGUAGACCACAAGGUUGAUAGGCUUUAGGUGUAAGUCCUGUGAGGGAUUAAGCCAAGAAGUACUAAUUAGUCGUUAAG
rnacentral:rRNA from 1 species